rnacentral:rRNA from 1 species
GAUGAACGCUGGCGGCGUGCCUAAUACAUGCGAGUCGAGCGAACGGACGAGAAGCUUGCUUUUCUGAUGUUAGCGGCGGACGGGUGAGUAACACGUGGAUAACCUACCUAUAAGACUGGGAUAACUUCGGGAAACCGGAGCUAAUACCGGAUAAUAUUUUGAACCGCAUGGUUCAAAAGUGAAAGACGGUCUUGCUGUCACUAUAGAUGGAUCCGCGCUGCAUUAGCUAGUUGGUAAGGUAACGGCUUACCAAGGCAACGAUGCAUAGCCGACCUGAGAGGGUGAUCGGCCACACUGGAACUGAGACACGGUCCAGACUCCUACGGGAGGCAGCAGUAGGGAAUCUUCCGCAAUGGGCGAAAGCCUGACGGAGCAACGCCGCGUGAGUGAUGAAGGUCUUCGGAUCGUAAAACUCUGUUAUUAGGGAAGAACAUAUGUGUAAGUAACUGUGCACAUCCUGACGGUACCUAAUCAGAAAGCCACGGCUAACUACGUG